CAGUCGCCGCGGGAAUACGUAGGUGGCAAGCGUUGUCCGGAAUUAUUGGGCGUAAAGCGCGCGCAGGCGGAUCAGUCAGUCUGUCUUAAAAGUUCGGGGCUUAACCCCGUGAUGGGAUGGAAACUGCUGAUCUAGAGUAUCGGAGAGGAAAGUGGAAUUCCUAGUGUGGCGGUGAAAUGCGUAGAUAUUAGGAAGAACACCAGUGGCGAAGGCGACUUUCUGGACGAAAACUGACGCUGAGGCGCGAAAGCCAGGGGAGCGAACGGGAUUAGAUACCCCUGUAGUCCCUGUCUCUUAUACA
rnacentral:rRNA from 1 species